rnacentral:lncRNA from 1 species
UUUCAUUAUUUGUGUCACUGAGAUGAGUGUUAAUCCUGUCUGACGCAAGGAGCCCACCCAAGGUCACAGUGGGACUGCUGGGCUCUGCUGCCUCCAUCCGGGCACCUGCAGCUCUUAGCUUCUCCAGUCCCAACUCAUUCCCAGCUGAAGAUAGUACAAAAAAUCAGAUGGUCCCGAGUGUGAAUUCCACCAUUGCUACCUCUGAGGCAAGUGACAAUACCCUGCCAAGCUUCUUUUUUCAUCUGGAAAAUGGAAUUAAGAGAGCACCCACCUCCCA